GUAGGUGAACCUGCGGAAGGAUCAUUACCUAUAUGAUGGCAGACUGGGGUUCCAAGAAGCAUGUUGCCCGCAUGUCUCCGCUUCACGGCGUUGUAGGCAGCGGUCCGGCGUGCUUUUUCCCAGCCUGUUUGAAUAUUCACCCAUGUCUUUUGCGUACUUUUUGUUUCCUGGGUGGGUUCGCCCACCAACAGGACACCCCCAUAAACCUUUUGUAAUUGCAGUCAGCGUCAGUAAAAACAAAAAUUAUUACAACUUUCAACAACGGAUCUCUUGGUUCUG
rnacentral:misc_RNA from 1 species